CGGGGAGGGCUUCGGAGGUGAGGAUGUGAGGUGGGCGGGCCGCUGCGGGGUGUGGCCCUGACUUCCUGUUUCCUGCCAUUUCCGGUGUCCCCCCCACUUAUGAAUAUUCAAAUCAGCAAAACCUUCGCUUCUUCGCUGUGGUUUUAUGCAAAUCAGAUGCAAAGGCACGCGGUGGGCGUCGUUCUUUAGAUUUAUGCAAAUCGUGCAGGCGAAUAUUCAAAUCACAUAAAUGAGAACUUGGUGAUGUGGCCUCAGGGGUGGGGCUUCCUACCCUGACCUUGAUUGACGGCUGCCGUAGGGGCGUGGCCUCACCCAACUCCGCCCUCCUCUCGCCCCGCAGGAGGUGGCCACCCGGACCAACCAGGCUCCACCCCCCUGGCGGCCAUCUUGUCUCCUGCGGUCUCGGUUGUGGUCCUAGCGCUGCUCGGCGCGGGGGUCGGAUUCGUCCGCUCGGGGCGUGGCCCCCGUUGGUGCCUAGGGAACCGCGGGCCCCGGGAGUCGGCGCCAGUGUGAGAAGGACGUCGCUCUGACCUCUGCGCGACUCCCGGACGACGACGUUGCCGCGCCGGGUUGUGGAAUGGGGGCGGGUGGGGUCGGGUCCUGGGACCUCCGGCUGAGGCAAGAUGGCUGCCGCCCAGGAGAGAGCGGGGACUUCCUGUUUUGGCUCUGCCUCGGGUCCUCUGACCCGGGUGUGGGAAUAAAGCGAAGGCAUGGCCCCUCACACGG
rnacentral:sRNA from 1 species